CGAGCAGCCCAUUCGCCCGAGAACUACCAGCACAAGCUAAAAACUCAAAAGACUUGACGGUGCUCUACCCUGCCUAGAGGAGCCUGUCCUAUAAUCGAUACCCCACGAUCUACCCAACCAUCACUAGCAACUUCAGCCUAUAUACCGCCGUCGAAAGUAUAUCCCUCAAAGGACCUAUAAUUUUCUCAACAGUCACCCCACUAAAACGUCAGGCCAAGGCAUAGCUAAUGUGACGGCAGAGAUGGGCUACAUUUUCUAACCGCCAGAACACACGAAAAAUAGCAUGAAAACUGCCAUUCCAAGGAGGAUUUAGCAGUAAGACGAAGA
rnacentral:rRNA from 1 species